UAGAGGAAGUAAAAGUCGUAACAAGGUUUCCGUAGGUGAACCUGCGGAAGGAUCAUUAUCGAAUAAACUAGGUGGGUUGUUGCUGUCCCUCUCGGGGGAAUUGUGCACGCCUUACCUUUUUUGUUUUUCCACCUGUGCACACACUGUAGGUCUGGAGGGAAAGGGAGGCAACUCCCUAACGUUUCAGGUCCUAUGUUUUUUACACAUACACUAUGAAAAGUAACAGAACGACUCAAUGGGCUUUGAGCCUAUAAACUAAAUACAACUUUCAGCAACGGAUCUCUUGGCUCUCGCAUCGAUGAAGAACGCAGCGAAAUGCGAUAAGUAAUGUGAAUUGCAGAAUUCAGUGAAUCAUCGAAUCUUUGAACGCACCUUGCGCUCGUUGGUAUUCCGACGAGCAUGCCUGUUUGAGUGUCAUUAAAUUCUCAACCUCAUCACUUUUUGUGAUGAUGGCUUGGAUGUGGAGGUUUUUUUUGCAGGCCGUUAAGGUCAGCUCCUCUCAAAUGAAUUAGUAGGUGCCCCGCGCAAACCUAUCUAUUGGUGUGAUAAUUAUCUACGCCGUGGAUAUUAGGAUUGCUGUAAAAAGGUGUUUGCCCUGCUUCUAACCGUCCUUUUUGGACAACUUGAACCAUUUGACCUCAAAUCAGGUAGGACUACCCGCUGAACUUAAGCAUAU
rnacentral:rRNA from 1 species